AUUGAACGCUGGCGGCAUGCCUUACACAUGCAAGUCGAACGGUAACAGGUCUUCGGAUGCUGACGAGUGGCGAACGGGUGAGUAAUGCAUCGGAACGUGCCCAGUAGUGGGGGAUAGCCCGGCGAAAGCCGGAUUAAUACCGCAUACGACCUGAGGGUGAAAGGGGGGGAUCGCAAGACCUCUCGCUAUUGGAGCGGCCGAUGUCAGAUUAGCUAGUUGGUGGGGUAAAGGCCUACCGAGGCAACGAUCUGUAGUUGGUCUGAGAGGACGACCAGCCAGACUGGGACUGAGACACGGCCCAGACUCCUACGGGAGGCAGCAGUGGGGAAUUUUGGACAAUGGGCGCAAGCCUGAUCCAGCAAUGCCGCGUGCAGGAAGAAGGCCUACGGGUUGUAAACUGCUUUUGUCAGGGAAGAAAUCUUCUGGGCUAAUACCCCGGGAGGAUGACGGUACCUGAAGAAUAAGCACCGGCUAACUACGUGCCAGCCGCCGCCGUAAAAC
rnacentral:rRNA from 1 species